AGAGCGAACGCUGGCGGCAGGCCUAACACAUGCAAGUCGAACGGACCCUUCGGGGUUAGUGGCGGACGGGUGAGUAACACGUGGGAACGUGCCUUUUGGUUCGGGAUAGCUCCUGGAAACGGGUGGUAAUGCCGAAUGUGCCCUUCGGGGGAAAGAUUUAUCGCCAUUAGAGCGGCCCGCGUCUGAUUAGCUAGUUGGUGAGGUAAAGGCUCACCAAGGCUACGAUCAGUAGCUGGUCUGAGAGGAUGACCAGCCACAUUGGGACUGAGACACGGCCCAAACUCCUACGGGAGGCAGCAGUGGGGAAUCUUGCGCAAUGGGCGAAAGCCUGACGCAGCCAUGCCGCGUGAAUGAUGAAGGUCUAGGAUUGUAAAAUUCUUUCACCGGGGACAUAAUGACGGUACCCGGAGAAGAAGCCCCGGCUAACUUCGUGCCAGCAGCCGC
rnacentral:rRNA from 1 species